rnacentral:tRNA from 1 species
AAGAGGCGUCUGAACAACAAGAACUGCUAAUUCUUUUCUCUGGAGUUUAAAUCCCCAGGCC